rnacentral:rRNA from 1 species
UAUUGCACAAUGGGGGAAACCCUGAUGCAGCAACGCCGCGUGAAGGAAGACGGUUUUCGGAUUGUAAACUUCUGUUCUUAGUGAAGAUAGUGACGGUAGCUAAGGAGCAAGCCACGGCUAACUACGUGCCAGCAGCCGCGGUAAUACGUAGGGAGCGAGCGUUGUCCGGAUUUACUGGGUGUAAAGGGUGCGUAGGCGGGAUGGCAAGUCAGAUGUGAAAUACCGGGGCUUAACCCCGGGGCUGCAUUUGAAACUGUCGUUCUUGAGUGAAGUAGAGGCAGGCGGAAUUCCUAGUGUAGCGGUGAAAUGCGUAGAUAUUAGGAGGAACACCAGUGGCGAAGGCGGCCUGCUGGGCUUUAACUGACGCUGAGGCACGAAAGCAUGGGGAGCAAACA